rnacentral:rRNA from 1 species
AUGGAAGGGCCGUAUUUAUUAGAUAACAGACCAAUAUUCUUCGUGUCUAUUGUGGUGAAUCAUAGUAACUAAUCGGAUCGUAUGGGCUAGUCCCUCGACAAACCAUUCAAGUUUCUGCCCCAUCAGCUUUCGAUGGUAGUGUAUUGGACUACCAUGGCUUUCACGGGUAACGGAGGAUUAGGGUUCGAUUCCGGAGAGGGAGCCUGAGAAACGGCUACCACAUCUAAGGAAGGCAGCAGGCGCGUAAAUUACCCAAUUCUGACUCAGAGAGGUAGU